UAGGGAAUCUUCGGCAAUGGACGAAAGUCUGACCGAGCAACGCCGCGUGAGUGAAGAAGGUUUUCGGAUCGUAAAACUCUGUUGUUAGAGAAGAACAAGGACGUUAGUAACUGAACGUCCCCUGACGGUAUCUAACCAGAAAGCCACGGCUAACUACGUGCCAGCAGCCGCGGUAAUACGUAGGUGGCAAGCGUUGUCCGGAUUUAUUGGGCGUAAAGCGAGCGCAGGCGGUUUCUUAAGUCUGAUGUGAAAGCCCCCGGCUCAACCGGGGGGGUCAUUGGAAACUGGGAGACUUGAGUGCAGAAGAGGAGAGUGAAAUUCCAUGUGUAGCGGUGAAAUGCGUAGAUAUAUGGAGGAACACCAGUGGCGAAGGCGGCUCUCUGGUCUGUAACUGACGCUGAGGCUCGAAAGCGUGGGGAGCAAACAGG
rnacentral:rRNA from 1 species